rnacentral:ncRNA from 1 species
ACGACAAGGGGAGCUUGCAAAAGCAGGCUGAGAGUAGGCUGUACUGCCUUGACCCAUAACCUGAUUUGGAUAAUGCCAACGUAGGGAUAAA